rnacentral:rRNA from 1 species
GACAGAGGGUGCAAACGUUGUUCGGAAUUACUGGGCGUAAAGCGAGUGUAGGCGGUCUGUAAAGUCGGGUGUGGAAGCCCCGGGCUCAACCCGGGAAGUGCACUCGAAACUCACAGGCUAGAGUAUCGGAGAGGUUGGUGGAAUUCUCGGUGUAGAGGUGAAAUUCGUAGAUAUCGAGAGGAACACCGGUGGCGAAGGCGGCCUUCUGGACGAUGACUGACGCUGAAGCGCGAAAGCGUGGGGAGCAAACAGG